UGAGUAACCUGCCCUUAACUCUGGGAUAAGCCUGGGAAACUGGGUCUAAUACCGGAUAUGACUCCUCAUCGCAUGGUGGGGGGUGGAAAGCUUUAUUGUGGUUUUGGAUGGACUCGCGGCCUAUCAGCUUGUUGGUGAGGUAAUGGCUUACCAAGGCGACGACGGGUAGCCGGCCUGAGAGGGUGACCGGCCACACUGGGACUGAGAUACGGCCCAGACUCCUACGGGAGGCAG
rnacentral:rRNA from 1 species